rnacentral:lncRNA from 1 species
UCCUUGAGCUGGCUCAACUAGCGGUCUUCAAAAUUCCUUUUUCUACCAACCUGAGAGAGCUGGUUUGAUCCUAAUUUUGAGCUAGCUCGAUUGUCAAAAUCUAGAAACACCUUCUCUAUCAUCCUAAGAGAGUUGGCUCGGGUCCAUCUCUAGCUGGCUCGACGGCAUGCCAAGCCAAAAUAGUGAAGACAUACCAUACCAGAGUCGACUUGAUUCUU